GUUUAUACCAAAUCCAAUUAAGAACCACGCACUGCACCUGGCUGUUGCGUCAGCGGACUCCAGUUCUAAUCCAAAGCCCGGAGGCGCUUAGAAAACCUGAGCGCCAGGCUACAGCCUCGCUUGGGAGGAGGCUCCGGGGCGGUGGAGUCUCUGCGAUCAUCCGGGGCCAGUGCAGCCCAACAAGGGAGCGGUAGGACUCAAAGAAGUAAUUGUGAAAUAUGUGUGGACUGAAUCCUUACUUGGUCCUUGUAUUUUGGAGAUCCUUGAUUCGUCUGAGCCCUUGAGUCAGGCAGCACACUUGAGGUUUCUGGACGGGACCUGCCCUUUGCAGCCUUUGUCUUUGGAGGCCUUCAUUUGAGUUUAUAGAUGGCCCAGCCCUUGGUUCUUGGAGAAGGUCACCGCUUCCUUAGAACAGAGCAGCUCUUGAGGUAAGAAGGGAUAAUCCUCAGGAAACCCAUCUGGAAGAUCACCCCUCCAUCUCAGACCUCUCACCAGGGCCUCAGAACAGAGGCAGAAGAGGCCCAGGAAAGACUAUGCCAGAACUGCCUGGACAGAAGUAAUCCUUGGUCCUCCUACCCAGAAUGGGCAACACUGGGUGAUGUCACCACAUCCAGAAUUCCGGACUGUCUAGCGAUCAGCUUCAGAACUGAGGUGAGGCUGGCAGCACCGCCGAGGGCCCCUCACAGGAGGCUUUGUGAGGACACAGUCCAAGAAAAGGAGUCACCACCCGCAGAAGGGGACAUUGCCCCUUUGCCUGCCCUCAUCAGCCCCAGUCCCUUCGCUCUGCGCUUACUCUCCGCACAACCUAGAGAGAUGCUCCAUUACGCCUGCUGUUCUGAUGCUGUACCUUUACAGUUCUCUUCAGUUUUCCAAGAGCAACAGGAAAUGAACAAGUCACCGACAAGAAGGGACAGCUCUUCCCUACAGAAGAAUUCCAAUGAAUAAAUAUGGAAGGAAUGAAGAAAAUAGAAAUAUUACCACUAGAACACCAUCGGAAUCAUUGUUGCAGGAAAGAUCCUUUAAUGGAGGCUCAGAUUAGGUUUGAGGAGAACAGGAUAUAUGCAUAGACUCAAAGUAUCUUCUCCCCAAAAUAUUUAAUUACAGAUGGAAAGAUAGUAAGUUCACAGAAGAGAAAUCCUGCAGACACCACCUUAACCAAGUGAUCAACAUUAACGUCUGUGGUCGUAAGACAUUGUGAUACAUACUGAUACAAAAUUGGUAUUCUUGCCAGAAAUGCCUCAUCUCAACCUAAUCGUGAGAAAGCAUCAGAUAAAUCUAAGAGACUUUCUACAAAAUAACUGACCAGUGCUGUUUGGAAGUGUCAAGGUCAUGGAAGACAAGAAAAGACAGGAACUGUCACAGUUUGGAGUGUGGAAUCCUGGAUUCGAUCUUGGGACAGAAAAAGGAUAUUAAUGAAAAAAUUGGUAACAUCUGAAUAAAGGCUAUAGUUUGGUUAAUAG
rnacentral:lncRNA from 1 species